UACGUAGGUGGCAAGCGUUGUCCGGAUUUACUGGGUGUAAAGGGCGUGCAGCCGGGCUGACAAGUCAGAUGUGAAAUCCGCGGGCUUAACCUGCGAACUGCAUUUGAAACUGUUGAACUUGAGUGCAGAAGAGGAGAGUGGAACUCCAUGUGUAGCGGUGGAAUGCGUAGAUAUAUGGAAGAACACCAGUGGCGAAGGCGGCUCUCUGGUCUGCAACUGACGCUGAGGCUCGAAAGCAUGGGUAGAGAACAGG
rnacentral:rRNA from 1 species